rnacentral:tRNA from 1 species
CGGGCUGUGGCGCAGUUCGGUUAGCGCACUGGUCUGGGGGACCAGGGGUCGGGAGUUCAAAUCUCCCCAGCCCGA